rnacentral:rRNA from 1 species
GACGGGGGGUGCGAGCGUUGUUCGGAAUCAUUGGGCGUAAAGCGCGUGCAGGUGGCUUUAUAAGUCAGAUGUGAAAGCCUAGGGCUUAACCCUAGAAGUGCAUUUGAAACUGUAAAGCUUGAGUAUGGAAGAGGGUCGUGGAAUUCCUGGUGUAGUGGUGAAAUACGUAGAUAUCAGGAGGAACACCGGUGGCGAAGGCGGCGGCCUGGUCCAAUACUGACACUCAUACGCGAAAGCGUGGGGAUCAAACAGG